ACCAGCUGCAGUUACCCAGUACUCCACUUUUGUGAAAAACCAGAGAUCCAGAAAAGAGAGAGGGGAUGUGAAGUACAAAAAGAGAGAUGAGAAUGGUGAAAAAUCAGUUUUCUCGAAUGAAUAAAUCAUUGUUGAUGAAGAAGAUCUUUCUCAUGCUGAUGAAGAUACCGAUCCAAAUAACGAUGAGGGUAUCCAUCAACUUAGAUAAUGAAAGUAGUUCUCAACUUUGAUUAUUCAAAUUGGGUUUUUGCUAAUUUUUGAAAUAAUUUUCUGAUGAAAUAUUGCUAAUGCAAUAUAGGUAACCACAAUAAGACUGUAUUGGCUUUGGUUUCCUUCGCCUCAAUACUUAGGUUGAAUUACAAAUUCCCGUACAUUUUCCGCCGAAUUCAAUCCGAUAUUCGAGGAUGGACCAGCUGAUUAUGUUAUGGAAGACUAUCAUAGAAGCCUAUGGAAGCUGUUGAGGUUGCUGAUAAGAUGGAAGAGACUGAAGAUACUAUUUCGAGGAAAAAAUCGAUGGCUUACAACAUUGAAGAUAUUUUACAUUCAAAAAGAUUCACAUGGAGCAGAGACUGCUCUUCUUUCUUCCUUUCAAGGCUGUUCAAGUGUGCCCACACUCGCGAUAGAGCUCUUCUAAUAAAUGUUGGAUGACUGCAGGCCUUGAAGUGGGUACAUCAAAUUCUCAUAUCUUGGUGUCUUUGGGAGCUGAAAAGACUAAAACACCCUAAUACUUGAAAAUAAGUUCAUUCUUAAUCCUAUCUCUCUAUUCACGACUUCACCACCACCAUUAGCCGAAUAACCAGCCGCAGCGUCUCCACCAUCUCCACCGUAACCUGUACCACCACCGUGGAACCAUAGAACUGAACUAAUUCAAGCAUUUCGUAUUUCCGUUUCUUACUCACCACCACAACCUUCCUCCUUCAGUUUCGAAUUCUACCCUCCACCUCCAGCAACACCAUCACCACCAUUACAGAUUUCUAUUUAACAUGUUCAGUUCUAUUUCAAUUCAUACCAGUUCAAUUGGAUUUCAGUCCAUGCCAAUUUCGAUUCCGAUAAUCCCCACCAUCACUACCAGCACCAGAUGAUGAAAAGCAAGCUCAUUUGAACAAUCUGGAGAAUGCAGCUGAUAAUCUACAGCUCUUCAAGGCAGAUUUGCUGGACUACAACAGCCUUUGUGCUGCAAUUGCAGGAUGCAGCGGUGUUCUUCAUGUUGCCAGUCCAUGUACAACUCCUGUGUCUGAUCCUAAGGUUGAACGGAUUGAGCCUGCUGUCAAGGGUCCGCUUAAUGUACUGAAGGCGUGUACCGAGGCUAAAGUGAAGAGGGUUGUGGUUGUGCCAUCUCGUGCUGCUGCUAUUUGGAACCGUAACUGGCCAAUUGAUCAACCCAUUGAUGAGUCUUGUUGGUAUGACAAGGAACACUUGAAUACCAAUUAAGGGAGCUUGAGAAACAAGCUGCUGAAGGUCGAAUAAUGAAGGAUAAACCACCUCAGCUCCGUCAAAGUCCUAGACUACUUGAGCUACAGAAACAGAGAGAUGCUCAACUACAGGUCCGUCGAGUUAUAGGUAAAGACAAACGUAAUGCUGGAUUUUGACAAAAUCCCUUAGUCGCCAGCAGUAAAAGUAGAUGAUUGUAUGAAGUAGGUAAUUUGUUAAUGUUGUCAUAGGUUGAGUACUGAUAUGGGAUUGCUUGUACCGUUCAGGGUUGGCAUCAUAUAUGAAGCAUCCAUUUCUUCUUU